rnacentral:rRNA from 1 species
UGAGCAAUCUGCCCUUCUCUUCGGAAUAAGCGUUGGAAACGACGUCUAAUGCCGAAUACGACCUCCUUUCGCAUGAUCGGAGGUGGAAAGCUCCGGCGGAGAAGGAUGAGCUCGCGGCCUAUCAGCUAGUUGGUGUGGGUAAUGGCCCACCAAGGCGACGACGGGUAGCCGGCCUGAGAGGGUGACCGGCCACACUGGGACUGAGACACGGCCCAGACUCCUACGGGAGCAG